AAAACACACCUACGGGAGGCAGCAGUGAGGAAUAUUGGGCAAUGGACGGAAGUCUGACCCAGCCAUGCCGCGUGAAGGAUGAAGGCGUUCUGCGUUGUAAACUUCUUUUAUCUGGGAAGAAACCUACGAUUUCUAUUGUAGUUGACGGUACCAGAGGAAUAAGCACCGGCUAACUCCGUGCCAGCAGCCGCGGUAAUACGGAGGGUGCAAGCGUUAUCCGGAUUUACUGGGUUUAAAGGGUGUGUAGGCGGGUCUUUAAGUCUGUGGUGAAAUCUCCGAGCUCAACUCGGAAACUGCCUUGGAUACUAUUGGCCUUGAAUUAUGUUGAGGUUGGCGGAAU
rnacentral:rRNA from 1 species